rnacentral:rRNA from 1 species
GUGAGGAAUAUUGGACAAUGGGCGCAAGCCUGAUCCAGCCAUGCCGCGUGCAGGAAGACGCAUCUAUGGUGUGUAAACUGCUUUUGUACGGGAAGAAACACUCCCUCGUGAGGGAGCUUGACGGUACCGUAAGAAUAAGGAUCGGCUAACUCCGUGCCAGCAGCCGCGGUAAUACGGAGGAUCCAAGCGUUAUCCGGAAUCAUUGGGUUUAAAGGGUCCGUAGGCGGUUUAAUAAGUCAGUGGUGAAAGCCCAUCGCUCAACGAUGGAACGGCCAUUGAUACUGUUAGACUUGAAUUACAAGGAAGUAACUAGAAUAUGUAGUGUAGCGGUGAAAUGCUUAGAUAUUACAUGGAAUACCAAUUGCGAAGGCAGGUUACUACUUGUGGAUUGACGCUGAUGGACGAAAGCGUGGGGAGCGAACAGGAUUAGAAACCCUGGUAGUCC